rnacentral:lncRNA from 10 species
CUCACUUGCAUUGCCGGGUCUCUGUGGCGACAGGGAGGACUUGGAGGAGAGGUGCCCGAUGAGCUCCCAGUCAUGUGGUUCAGGGCGGGCUCUGGAAGACUCACAGAGGAGACUCCUCCGAGAAACCAAGAAGGUUUCUGUCCAAGUCGGGAUCUGCUCUGCUCAGGAUGCUCCUCCAACACACACAGUGAAAAACUGAGCACCUAGAGAGCAACACCAAAAACCCAUGGCCAAUAAUGGAGAGCCAAAUCAGGAGAGCAUUCAGCAAAGCAAUUCUUGCUGUAGAAGGAACAGCACAAAAAGCUGGAAGGAAACUGAGGCAUGCGUGAAAGAUAACUUGUCAGUGUUUGCAGUCUACUGAGAUCCCCGCUGCAAGAAAAGGCAGGAUUUCCACUUGCUUCUUGGCCCGCCUCUGUUGUCCAGAAUCCAGGACAGGUGACAAGAGAAGCAGAUGUGAUCUGCACAAGCUGGCUCAGCUGGGUUGGGAGUUGCUCUUCCUGGACAGGCCGGGAAGGGUGCUGGAGGGGAGGGAGGAGGAGAGAGGUUUUAGGGGAGGGGUGCUGAGCAGUCAGGGACCUGUAAGGUCACAUUUCUUUCAGGUAUUCUUUCUAGGUGUACUGAAUGGGAACAUUGUCUGUCAUCCCUAGACUGCAUUAAAGACCUAAACUGCUUCCAUUUAUCUUUGGUUGUUGGACUGAAGUUUCUAAUGUACCUGGUGACACAGAGCACAGCUCUGUGUUUUUAUGGGUUGCUUAGUUCAAGAUCUGGAUGAAAGAAGCCUGAACCCAUUUUUGUGCAAAAGCCUAAGGGUGUACAGCAGGGAUGCUCAAACUUUUGUUUUUAUAAGAACCCACUUUUAUAUUAAGUAGGUUUUCUGUGUGUGAGAAGAAAUGCUUGAACAUGGAAAUGAAAAGUUCUAACUGUAGGAUGGAGUUUACA